UAUUAAGAUUAUGGGUCAUUUUUGUCUUACAAUGGGGUUAUGUUUUGAUAACCUUAUUUUAAAUCAAGAAUGGCCCGUAACAUUAAUAACUAUAGUAGUAAUGGAGAGUUUCAGCAACAACUUCUACAACUUAGCUCUGACCGAGAAAGUCCACGGUCUGCACAUACGCAAGGUUGUUAGUUGUACUGUUGCUUUUUGUAUCUGUUUUGAUCAUAUUGUUGACCAAUAAAACAGUUUUCUGUCAUCAUGUUUUCAAUACGAGAAGGAAGUGAUCUUUGCUGUCUGAUGCAACUCAGAAUUUUAAAAUUUACUGUCAGGUGGUGCAAUAUAAUAGAUGAUUUUUCACAUGUCCAAACUUGACUACCUAAACACUUCUACAUAAAAAUAAAUCAUCCAAAGCACUAUUCAGCAGUUGUAUAAAUACAUCAACUUUAUUAUAGCAAACAUUUUCAGUGAUUGUUCAUUCUCUUCAGGCUACAAAUGUUCAAAAGAAAAACAACAAAAAGGUUUAUAAACAA
rnacentral:lncRNA from 1 species